AAGCUACAUGUAUUGUACUGUAAAACAUUGUACUAAUAGGGGCAAGUUGGUAAUUUUGAGAAAUUUAUGCUUUUGCCCUCCUUCAAUAGCUAAUACGUGUUCCAAUUGUUAGGUGUUACUGACACAUUUAUGUCACUUCUUCUCCACCUUAACCGCAGUAAUCUCCAGUCUCCACCCAAAAACACCACUGAAACACCACUAAACCACUAAAAUGAAAGAAGCUUGCAUCCAAAGGUCACCAACAAUCACCACACAAAUUCUUGAUCUGAGGUCUUUAACCAAUUUCCACAGUGGAUGGCUCGAAAUUUUGUGAGAAUAAAAAAGUGACCACUGUAAUGAAGUUGGUUGGUGGUGUUAUUGACGAGUCAUAUUGCGAGUAGGCAUCAAGUCAACUGAUCGAUGUGCAUUUUACGCUUAUUGAUAUCUUUGAGUUGAAGGAUAUUGGUAAAAUGCGUCAUCUUAAUGCCUCAAUUGCUAUGAAAUUUGCAUUUGAUAAUUUGAAAGAUUCAGACUAUCAAAUGAGGGAGAAAGUAAUUAAGGGCAUUGAUUGCUUUGAAAGUAUUGAAUUAUGAGCAUUCCUUUGCAACGAUGAGUUCAUCCGCGAAGUAAAUAAGGAUUGGAGAGAGGAGGACAACACUACUAAUGUCCUUUCAAUGUCUCAACAUAUACCUGAACUUGAGCUUCCAAUUGUAAGAAAAUACUUCAUUAUUCACAUAUCAAGCCUCAUGUAACGAAUCUAAGUAGGUCCGUAUUCAACAGUUAAUGUUGGGAGACAUUGUGAUUUCAGUGGAGCCAAUAACAAGGCAAGUAGAGGAAAGGGGAUGUAGUCCACUGGACGAGAUACACAUCUUACUGGUAGGUUUCACAUACUUUGAACUAAUUUUGAAGAGUAAAAACAAGAAAUAAUUGAACUUUUAGGACUUCUUAUUUGAUACUGCAGCUGCAUACAUGUUGUUACAACCAGCAUUAUGAUGUUACUUCCACUUUUUUCAUGAACUAAUUGAUGUAAAAUCUAAUGUUUUGAUACUUUUGCUUUAUCAUUUACUUUAAGGCAUUUUAAAAAUUAAUUAGCAGUAGGACCAGCCUAAUAGAUGUCAUUCUCUAGAAAUGCCUUAGUGCAAUGGUUCACAAGUUUAUUUUCUUACAGCACUCUUACGCAAAUAGUAUAUGUUGGGAGUAUGUUUUCAGAUAGUUACACAUUGAAGGUUUAAAGUCUUGCUACUUCUUCCAUUCUUGCAACAAGGAUAACUAGAAUAAUGCUAUUAUGAGGGAGAGAAUUCAAGUUCCUCAAGGGCUCUUAGUAAAACCAUUUCUUUAAGAAAACAAAGGUUUUAUGGCUUCGACUUUGACAGAGGAGAUGAAAUAUAUCUUUUAGCGUAAAUUCUGCCAAAUUAGACUCCCGAAAUACUAUCGUCUUUUAAUUACGGCCUUAGAGACGCUUCCAGUGAUUUUUAGUCUUUGUUGAUUAUCUAAGAAGAACAUUGUAUUUGUAAUUGAUUUUGAAACUAUAUAUUAUUUUAAUUGAAUUGAUCUUUUGAUUAUACGAUGAAUUUAUUCUAAUCCAUGAGAUAGUAUUAGAGAGUAAUGAAUCAUAAGGUUAGCUUUCUUGCAUCCUCCAUAUGCCAAACAAUUGUUGCCGAGAAUUGAUAUAUAAAGAGAAUAUUCAUGAGUGAAUUAUUCUUUGUUUCUCCAAUUCUGGAUCAAUGAAGGCCAUUAAGCACCUACAACGAGGGUUAACCUACUAAACAGACGCUAUUUGAUAGAAUAAAAUUCUUUGUACUGUUACUAGACGAUAUUAAAGAAGGCAAUAAGUUAGAGUAGGAUUCGGUUCUUGAAUUUAUCACUUUGAACAUAUGUAUGUUCUCUAAUAUGUUACAAGAUCUUGGAGUUACCAGAAGCUAUUAGCGUCUCUACAACUUCAACUACUUUUUAGUAAAUAUUUUAAAUCUUUCCUAAUUCUUCAUCUAUUUUUAUUUGCUUUUUCAAAUUUUUCAGAGAAGUUUAGAAUGACCCACAUUAUGAGAGAAGUUGAAAAACCUGUAUCAAGCAAAAUCACCCUUUUUAUUUAUAUCACAUUUCCGUCAUACAUUUAUUAUUUAGACUUUGGGUUGCUAGCGUUGUCCUACCCCCUUUCACCCCAAGGGGAGAAACUACCAUGAUGAUGUUAAAUAUUAAUCUUCACAUCUUAUCUGCUGAAUUGUAUGACUCCACGAGACAAACAUGUGAGACGAUCACUAUAAUUGGAACCCCUCAAUUGUGGUAGUUGGUGUUGUUGGAUAUGUUAUGGUACUUCAUGAUUGUGUUGCCUCAAAUACUAACUGAGCUCAGCAUCUCAAUGAGGAGUUGAAGAGGUUCUACAAAAAAUGGAGCAAGUCCAAGGAAGAGGCCAUUAUGAAGUACUCCUAGAAAUAUGAUGUUGAUGAAUAAAGCAGAUAUUCAAGCGCUGUUGGAGAAACUGAACAAGUAUGCUUGUGUUAUCCAUGUGUUUAACUCUCAUACAUGUAUUAAAUUUGCAUGUCAUCCCUCAGAUUUUGAGGAUA